CCUACGGGUGGCAGCAGUGGGGAAUAUUGCACAAUGGGCGAAAGCCUGAUGCAGCAACGCCGCGUGAAGGAAGACGGUUUUCGGAUCGUAAACUUCUGUUCUUAGUGAAGAAUAAUGACGGUAACUACGGAGAAAGCCACGGCUAACUACGUGCCAGCAGCCGCGGUAAAACGUAGGUGGCAGGCGUUGUCCGGAAUUACUGGGUGUAAAGGGAGCGAAGGCGGGAAGCCAAGUCAGCUGUGAAAACUACGGGCUGAACCUGUAGACUGCAGUUGAAACUGGCUUUCUUGAGUGAAGUAGAGGUUGGCGGAAUUCCGAGUGUAGCGGUGAAAUGCGUAGAUAUUCGGAGGAACACCGGUGGCGAAGGCGGCCAACUGGGCUGUAACUGACGCUGAGGCUCGAAAGUGUGGGGAGCAAACAGGAUUAGAUACCCCUGUAGUC
rnacentral:rRNA from 1 species